rnacentral:rRNA from 1 species
GACGAACGCUGGCGGCGUGCUUAACACAUGCAAGUCGAGCGAGGCCCCUCCUUCGGGAGGGUGUCCUAGCGGCGAACGGGUGAGUAACACGUGGGCAACCUGCCCUCAGCUCUGGGAUAACUCCUGGAAACCGGGGCUAAUACCUGAUACGACCUCUACGGGCAUCUGCGGAGGUGGAAAGUUUUUCGGCUGGGGAUGGGCUCGCGGCCUAUCAGCUAGUUGGUGGGGUAGUGGCUCACGAAGGCGCCGACGGGUAGCCGGCCUGAGAGGGGGACCGGCCACAAUGGGACUGAGAGACGGCCCAGACUCGUACGGGAGGCAGCGGGGGGGAAUAUUACGCAAUGGGCGAGAGCCUGAGGCAACGGCGCCGCGUGAGGGAAGAAGGCCUUCGGGUUGUAAACCUCUUUCAGCAGAGACGAAGCGAAAGUGACGGUACCUGCAGAAGAAGCACCGGCCAACUACGUG